UGGCUCAGAGGUUAAGAGCACUGGUUGUUCUUCCAGAGGUCCUGAGUUCAAUUCUCAG
rnacentral:tRNA from 1 species